UCUCCAGCUUCGCAGCCCCCUGUCGUCCGCCCUUCCGGCUCUCCCGUCCGCUUCGCCCCCCGCAAACCCGAUCCACACGCCGCAUCCCUGUCCCAUCCGCUCCGCCGCCCUCGCCUAUUCGCCGCUCCGUCGCUCCACUGUGGUGGUCCGCCCGCAUCCCCGGGGAUCGCGGCCGUCGUCGCCCCCUGCUUGCUCGCCACUCCACUGAGGCGCUCAGCUGAGGACAUGGCGGGCCAUCGUCGUCCCUACCUGCUCGCUGGCUUCGUGCGGGGCAACCGCGCCUCUCACCCCCCAUCCUGCUCGCCAGCUUCGCGCAGGGAACCGCACCUCUCUCGUCAUCUCCCCGGUUCCUCCACCGAGGUCCCUCAUUGACACUGUUCUGCCAUCUCUCCCUCUCUCCAUGUGUGCAGCUUCUCAAAGCCCCCGCGGAGCUCGUCCGCACACACGUCGUCUCCCUCGGCGGCAGUGGCGGCGGCCGCCUGUUACAAUUGAUUUCACCAUGUCAAUCCUCACGAGGGUAUUCCCAAAUCUUAAUCCCAAUCUCAACUAUUUUUGCAUUAUUUUUCCAUUCAGGUUGUUCCACCCCAGGGAUAUCAUGGAUAUGGGACAAGGGCUCAGUACAAAAAUUCAGGUAUUAGAUUCUUAAUCUUUUAUGCAAGCCGUAGCUUCUCUGCUUCCCUGAGAUUAUUUGACCUCAUGGUUGCUGGCAAUGUGUUAAUUUAAUUCUGAGUUAACAACAUUAUAGUCACUUGUGUAUAAUUGAUUUUGUAUAAUUGAUUUCAUAUAUGGCCGCUUAACAUCGAAUGGAAGUUCAGAGCUUGUGAUAUGCAAUGGUUGCGCGAAAAAAGUUCAUUACCACUUCUAUCUAUGUUGCAGUUCAGAUUCUGCAACUGUAUACCUACAUGUUUGAUGUGAUACACUUCUGCGGAGGUUUACCCUUUUAGAGUGAUUUUCUAUCUUGUCAGGUCAUAACUCUUGCUUCACGCAUAACCCAGAAUAUAUUGCAUAUUAAAGGCACUCUUACGCUUCCUUCCUAUAAUCACUUGUGCUAAUGGAAACAAUAAGUUUGUCCUUGCCUGAAAUUGUCACCUAUGGAUUUUCUCAGCAUGAAGAAUCAAGUAAGUGUUGCCUGAACUGUCUAGCUACCUAUACGUGUUAUUGUAUUUUUUAAAUUUAUAAAUAUCAACUUUAGAUACUUCAUAACUCUUCUGUUAAUUUUGAGUAAGGAUUUUAUUUCUUCCUCUAUAAUCAAUGAUGGUGUUGUACACUUGUUUUUUUUUUUUCCAAAGAGAUAUUGAUGCCCCAUUUAAGAAAUGUCAGUAUAUAAUGUUAAUCCACUUUUAGGUUCUGGAUAGUUGAACCAUUUAGCUAAAAAGCUCCUGUUUUGACCUCAGGUGAAUAUUGCAUGUUUAAUUUUCUAAAAAUCGUUUGGUUUUUCCUCAGGUGAAUAUUGCAUGUUUAACUUCUUGCACAAUCGAUUGGUUUCAUUUUUAUUCCAAAGUCUCCACUCUAUUGUUAGCUUAUUGCACAUUCUUCUGGACCACUAUUUGAGCUGUGGGUUUGUGGUGCCAUAAUACAGGAAGCAAAUCUGCCUAGGUGAUUGGCUGAGUUCCCACAUUUUACGUCAAGCAUAGUGCUGAUGUAGAAAAAGUUAAUAGUUUAUGAAUUAGUUUUAUCAGAUGAAACUCAGUAAUGAGCGGAACGCUGGUGUUGCCGUCCAACAGGAUGGCAGGAGACCCGCACAAGGUGCCCUCUUUGAUAGUUCAGUUCUUUCUGUCCUUUGGUCAGCUUAGUGUUAUGCAACUCCUUGUGGAAUACUAAAGCUUUUAACUUUUUUAUUGGGAAGAUUAGAGUAGUUAGGUUAAGUAAGGGGAACAAUCUAUUGAAUACGGGUCAAUGUUAUCAAGAUUUUUUUAUUAGUGGUACUGUACACUUAUUCUCCCAGUAUACAUGCUGGUGUCCAGUUUGGCAAAUUCACAAGCUUGUGCCAGUCGAAUUUUAAUUUUGGGUAAUUGAGAGGUUCAACUUUUUAUGUGCAAAUAGGAUGAGCAUUUCACAUUUCAUA